rnacentral:lncRNA from 1 species
AAAGAUGAAAAGAUCAAUAGAAACUUACCGAACAUAUAGACGCAGCUUGUCAUGGAUGAGAGGAUCCACGAGUACCAACUCUUGUGACGUUCAUACAUUAGAGAGUAUAUGGAAAAGCACACGACAAGGAAGAACAACACAUAGGACAAAUACUUCAUGGCAAGAUCAUCAUAUUCUUUCGUCUUAUUUCCAGCAUAUGAUUCCCGAUCUCGGAACCUCAACAUAGGUAUUCUACCAGAUCUGUCAAUCUAGAAAUCAAGGACAGUUAACAAUAGAACUGUUGGUGGUUUGAAUUUAUGCUUAAUCAAUCACAGUAUGUAAAAAGAAGGCAUCAACAAUGAAGAAGACAUUAAGAAGUUUGAAUUCUAUUUACUUUUUCUCGCACAUUCAGAACACUUGCACUUCGAAUUAUUUUCAAAUAUUGUUGUGUGUUAAUUCAGAUGCCAGUUGCAAACUCCUCUGCUAAGAGGAACGAAGGAUCUCAAGAGUCCAUGGAAAUGAAACUAAAUUGUACGACUUUAUAAUCAGUUACAAUUCUUUUCCUCUGCUAUGAAACUCCAUUUGGAAAAGGGUUGACCAUAGCCUAAAUUCUGGUUAGAUUAUCACAUAUGCAAGUUUUUCCAAGACUGCUAUUUGGAAAUUUUCUGAAUGAAGAUUGUCAAAAAUAUUGAGUCACUAAGCAGUUAUCUUAGUUACGCCCAAAACAUAUUGAUUCCAACAGCAAUGAAAGAAAAACAAACUCAAAAAACCUAUGACAACAGAUUCUGGUACUAUGGGUUAAAUAAAAAUUAAGGAACUUAAGGACAGUCAGGGGAAGCUUAAUGUCCUGGAAGUGCCAGAAAUACCUCUCAAGCCGCUGUCUGACAAUCUCAGAUUCUCGAUGAAGCUACUCAUUUCUGAGAACAUUCCAAAACCAAACUCCAUAGUUCAUUGAUGCUGUAGUAAAACGAAAGCGAAAUUCAGCUUAGUUAGUUUUCUUUUCGUCUUCUUUCAGUGCUAAAGUUUCUGAACUACUAGAAGUUUGAUCCGUAUCCUCCCCAGCGAAACCAAACUCAUUGACUCGUUUCUUAUCCACUGGAUAAACCCAUCUCUGAUAUAGGUAUAUUAAAAAUAUAAGAUCUGCAUGGCAAAGACAGAUGAAACAUUAGUAACCCAAUUGGAUGAAAGCUAAUGCAUAUAAUAGAACCACACAAACGCAUAGAACGCUUGCAAUAAUAGACUUCUAAAACAAGAUGACCACAAAAAUUAGUGGCUCAACUAUAUCAAUUAGGCUGGAGACAAAUGUAAAAGGAACAGUAGCAUCCAGGUCUGCUUACUGCUCCUUUGGUUUUCACAAAAAACAGUAUUACAAAGUGGUCAACUGAAUCCAACCUAUAAGCUGCUACAAUCAAAUAACCAAGGUCAUCGUUUGUAAUGGUUAAAGAUUGCUCGAGCUUCUGUUAAGAUGUUUAUAGCAACCAGUAUUGAAGUCUCAACAGUGAGAACACAGACUUAGCAUCUUAAAAGAUGUUCUUAUCUAGCUGGUCACUUGAUUAACCAAGAAAGUCCCAAGACCUUGGUGUUGGUGUCGUAAUAGAGAGGUCAAAGACGGUCAAUGAAACUCUCUAAAGAGUCUGUAUUAUGUUCUAUGGCUUUGAGCUUAUGAAAUAACAAUAGAACUCAGAGUAACAGGCAAAACUGGCUUGGAUUCCAACGGUCAGAGAAGAACGGCCGCUACUUAACCAAAUAAAAACAACCAAUUAACUACAAAGAAUCUUAUUUCAAAAACUUACCAUCACGGAACACAGACAGGCGAUGUAGCAAUGGCAUUUUUAUUACAAAUGCAAACAAAUCAUCAAUAAUGGUAUUGAGAAACUUGUAAGUCAUCUGCCUCCAAGGUAAAUGAGCAACAGACUUCAGCUUAUAAUUGAUGAACAACUGGGGACACAUCAUAACAAAACCUGCAACAAUAAGAGGAGAAAAUAAUAAAUUACCAAGCAAAGCGAUAGGAGUAUAUGCUAUCAGAAGUCCUUGCUUUAAAUGUUUUUAAGAGUACAGGCUUCUAGAAAGUGUGAACUGUGCACUUAUGGAAAUUGUAAUAUCAGUUGCAAGAUGAUCUGAAAAUGUUUAUCACAAUGUUCAACUGAUGCGAGGCUUUGAACUACGUUAUUGAGAUCCUAAAUACCAAAAGAUAAAAGAUAAAAGAUGAAAAGACCAAUAGAAACUUACCGAACAUAUAGACGCAGCUUGUCAUGGAUGAGAGGAUCCACGAGUACCAACUCUUGUGACGUUCAUACAUUAGAGAGUAUAUGGAAAAGCACACGACAAGGAAGAACAACACAUAGGACAAAUACUUCAUGGCAAGAUCAUCAUAUUCUUUCGUCUUAUUUCCAGCAUAUGAUUCCCGAUCUCGGAACCUCAACAUAGGUAUUCUACCAGAUCUGUCAAUCUAGAAAUCAAGGACAGUUAACAAUAGAACUGUUGGUGGUUUGAAUUUAUGCUUAAUCAAUCACAGUAUGUAAAAAGAAGGCAUCAACAAUGAAGAAGACAUUAAGAAGUUUGAAUUCUCAAUUUCUAAUCUCCAAUUUAGUUAGUAUUCUAACCCCCUAAGCAACUCACAUCUUCCAAGUACAUCAAACUAAACCAAGCGAAAAACAAACAAGAAGCAAUCAUAUAAGAUAAGUAGCCUGAUCAUGAGACAUAAGGAACACAAAAAAUAUCGAUCUAUCUAUCUAUAACAAUGAAGAGGACAUUAAGAAGUUUCAAUUCUCAAUUUCUAAUCUCCAAUUUAGUUAGUAUUCUACCCCCCUAAGCAACUCACAUCUUCCAAGUACAUCAAACUAAACUAAGCGAGAACCAAACAAGAAACACUCAUAUAAGUAGCCUGAUCAUGAUGACAUAAGGAACAACAACAACAACAACAACUACCCAGUACAUUCCCACCAGGUGGGGUCUGGGGAGGGUAAUAUGUAGACGAGCCUUACCCCUACCC